UGCUCAGCGUCCUGAAGGUCACAGCUGUGGUGCCCGCUCCUCGGCGCCCCAGUCGGAGGAAACUUCACACGUGGCGGGGUGGAAUGCGCUAAAUCUUAAAAGCACAAAGGAAAAGGUUUUUCCUCCUUGACACGUGUGGUCCAUAGUUACCAAGUCAAAAAUGAAAUCCCAGGACCUGAAGUUUAGGACUUCGAACGAAAGAUGGAGUCCAGCUGCAGUUCUUCCCGCCACCUUCCGCACAGUCUGUCUGAUCUAUCACCAAGGAGGACACUGAAGAAGGUCCAUAGAGAAAUCCAUGGUGAGGAACUGAGGCUGCCUGCAAACAGCCAUGUGAGGAGCCAUCUUGGUAGCAGAUCUCCAUCCACACCUUCAAAUGGAUGCAGCCCCAGCCAACAUCUUGACUGCAGUCUCAUGAGAGAACUUGAGUCAGAACCACUCAGUUAAGACGCAUUCAAAUCCUGACUCAAAGAAACUGUGAGAUAAUAAAUG